UGACCUCGGAUCAGGUAGGGAUACCCGCUGAACUUAAGCAUAUCAAUAAGCGGAGGAAAAGAAACCAACCGGGAUUGCCUCAGUAACUGCGAGUGAAGUGGCAAAAGCUCAAAUUUGAAAUCCGGUGCCUCUUGGUGCCUGAGUUGUAAUUUGGAGAGACAAAUUUGUUUGAUGGCGCCGGCCUAGGUUCCUUUGAACAGGACAACAUAGAGGGUGAGAAUCCCGUUCCUGGCCGGAUGUUCUGUCAUAUAUCUAAAUUGUCUUCGACGAGUCGAGUUGUUUGGGAAUGCAGCUCAAAAUGGGUGGUAAAUGUCAUCUAAAGCUAAAUAUUGGCGAGAGACCGAUAGCGCACAAGUAGAGUGAUCGAAAGAUGAAAAGCACUUUGAAAAGAGAGUCAAAAAGUACGUGAAAUUGCUGAAAGGGAAGCGCUUGAGACCAGACUCGAACCGUGGUGAUCAGCCGUGCUUCUGUGCGGUGUCACUUGCCACGGUUUGGGCCAGCAUCGGUUCUGGCGGUCGGAUAAAAGGUGGAGGAAUGUAGCUUCCUUCUGGGAGUGUUAAUUUAGCCACCACCACAAUGCGGCCAGCCGGGACCGAGGACCGCGCCUUCUUUGGCUAGGAUGCUGGCGUAAUGGUCUUAAGCGACCCGUCUU
rnacentral:rRNA from 1 species